UUGCUUCAGAUGCACAUACACUAAAAUUAGAAUGAUACGGAGAAGAUUAGCAUGCCCCCUGAACAAAUAGUACAUUUUUAAUAUAGAAAUAAAAUGACAUAAU